GUUGAAAAUGUAUUAUUCGCAACCGAUCUACGACGAAACCUCUUAUCAGCUAAAAUUAGCUGGAAGGCUGGUAUGAAAAUUUAUUAUGAUCUGCUCGAUGAGGAUCAUCAACAAGGGCACAGCAAUCAACGUGGGAUCAAUGGAAGGUAAUCUAAAUUUUUACUAACAUUUACAGUGCCGGCAUAAGGUUUUGCGGGGCCCGGUGUGAUCUUAUAAUUUGGUUUAGCUGUAAAACCAUAAUUGUGCAAAAAUCAAAACAUUUUACAAAGCACCAUUUAUAUUACAUUAUAAAUCUUUAAAGUAAUUUAUAAACUUUAUAAGUUAAGCUUAUAUAGGAUAAUGGUAAAAUUUUCAAAAUAAUUAAGCCAUUUUUAACUGUCGUUUUAAUUUUGACAGUUUUUGCGUAAUUUUUAUUUGGUAAGUACUCUGUGAAUAAAAUUUUUAGGUUAAUAGAAAUGCUUGAACAUUUAACGAAAGGUUCAUUACAAGUCGUAAAAUAUUACAAUAUUUUUUAUUUAUAAGAGUUUUAAUAAUUUUAUGAAUCUCAACUUCCAACCUACAACAGCGGCACACCCGUCUCCCAGUUUUAGCUCUGUUUUUCUUAAAAUAUACAUAAGUAAUUUUUGGUAUUAAAAUUUGAUUAAGGGUCACAUCGAAAUCUAUUGCAGGCCACAGCUUUAACGAUCGACGACGGUGUACACUUAGGCCAGUCUGACCUUUCACGAGUAACAAAAAACAAAGCUAUGCAAGAAAAUAAAUGAGC